rnacentral:rRNA from 1 species
AACGAACGCUGGCGGCGCGCCUAAUACAUGCAAGUCGAGCGAGAAGACGUAGCAAUACGUUUGUAAAGCGGCGAACGGGUGAGGAAUACAUGGGUAACCUACCCUCGAGUGGGGAAUAACUAGCCGAAGGUUAGCUAAUACCGCGUACGCUCCUUGGACUUCGGUUCAGGGAGGAAAGCGAUACCGUGGGUAGUCGCGCUCUUGGAUGGGCGUCAUGUCCUAUCAGCUUGUUGGUGGGGUGGANGGCCUACCAAGGCGACGACGGGUAGCCGGCCUGAGAGGGCGACCGGCCACACUGGGACUGAGACACGGCCCAGACUCCUACGGGAGGGCAGCAGUGGGGAAGUCUUGCGCAAUGGGCGAAAGCCUGACGCAGCGACGCCGCGUGAGGGAUGACGGCCU